UCACAAGCCACUGAACUGUGUGGGACAAAUUUCUCCUUGGUGUACCCCAGUGAAGCCAGUGGAACAACACCAAGCAUCAAUUUGUCCUGUUGUUUAUUUCUGCAGCUCUUCCUACUUCUAUUGUAACGAGAUACAAUCACUACAGCAGCUGUUAUUGUUUGAUCAGCAACACAAUCUUUGUUGAGAUUUCAUUUCCCUUGCAGCCCAAAUGCUAGAUUAUAUUUCUCAUUUAUGCCUUUUAGUGGACUUAAUUUGACAUUAAAUUACACACCAGCCUGGUGAUGCUCCACUGCUUGUUAAUAUAAAGUAGUGGCAUUUGAAACCCCAAACCUUAAAUGGAGGAUACAGAAGACUUUGUCCACGUUCAAGUAAUAAAUCUCCCAUUAGUAUAUGGGAAGUUUACAGCUGUUAUAAAAAUAAAAUGCAUGUAGCUAUCAGUUUGAUAUGUCUUCAUUGUCUGUUAAGUUUAUUCCUGGUCUUUUUAUGUACUUUAUAUACAUAUGGACAAAAUUUCUACCAUGGUUGGCUUUGUUUGGUUAUAUUUGUGUUGCAUUUUGUAAGACUAAAAACUAGUGUCCCUUGUUUUUAGGAUUCAUAUGCUGCAUGUUAAACUUCUCAAGUUAUUCCUAUUCACAAAUGACUCUCAGAACUGAAUAUAAUCCACUUGAAAUAAUUCUUGCUCCGCUUCUAAAAUGGAGGGGAGUACCACCUAGAGAGCAUGCAAGUGAACACAUCACAUAGGCGUGAACUCCAAAAUAUUCACAGUUCACUUUGGAUAAGUAUCCAGAAGCUCAGAUCUUUUCCAAACCUAUGGUAGACACCAGAAAGUCUUUCAGCCCUUUGAUUUCACACAACCCCUCUCCAUCUUGCUGUCCUCUUUGGAAAAGGAGACUUGGUAGUCCUCCUGUGUUUUCUCCGAGUAGCUCAUUUCACCUUUGAUAAGGAGUCAGCAGGGGCCAUGGGUUUUUCUACUCAUAACCAAUGGGCAAUGCUGUAGGAUAGGAAUGUGUCUCCAUCUUCGAGGGACUUGGGAGCCAAAAAAAAAAAAAAAAAAAGGUAAAUAGAAUAGUAUCAAUAGGUUUGCCAUGUGAUUAUGGUAGGAUAUGUUCUGCCUAUUUGGCUGCUAGGAAUUUUGGUAAUUUAUCUCCACUGUUUGUUACUGUGGGCAGGGGGCCACUGCUCCUAGUUCCUGCCUAGGGCACACAGUUGUAUCAUCUUGGCUCAGGCAACGGGAGGCUUUUGAGCUGCAGUCAGCCAGGUCCUACUCUUCCAGGAGAGGAGAAGAGAAGACCCUCUCCCAUUAGCCCCCUUCUCUGGGCCAAAAGGGGAGAUAAAUAACACAAGCAAAUUCCUGAAACUAGGUUACAGAGCCUAGGUUUAAAGGCUUGAUAUUCAAACAGACUUGACUGUCCCUGAUUCCAUGUGAAGACAGGGAAUUAAGUACCCUCAGCUCUGAGAAAAACAGACCUUAAAUGUAAACUCUGUUUUUCCAUUGAGUCCAAAUUAAUGUUGUGAUGGAUUGUUCUUAAUCCUGGGGAGCAAUCACUGACUUUGGGGGAAUCCUCUUCAGGGGCCUAACUAAGCCCCAAUAUUGAGUGUAACAUAAAUCGUUCAUAACUGAGUCUCAGCAGAGACGAGCUGGACGAGGUAGCAUGUUUAUUGGACCCCUUUAUGUUGGUGCGAGAGACCAGCUUUGGAGCCACCCCGAGCUCUUCUGCAGGCCCGGGUGGGACUCCUUGCCAUGGGCCAGCACCGGGAGUCAGUCCGCACUACGGCGUGUCCCUGCCCAGGGGCGGCUGCCGUGUGGACGGGGUUUUCUCGCACCGCUUUCCCCGAAGGCGGUGUGAGCUGGGCGCUCAGUGGGGCCGAGGCGGCGGCCAUGCACGCGGAGCGGCAACUGGGGGAGGCUGGAGCGCCCGGGGUCGGCUCGCGCCGCAGCCCUUCGCAGGGAACGAGCGCCGCGCUCCAGCCGGGCUUGCCUCCGCUCUGCGUUGGAUUGCUCCGGUCUGCCUGGAGCCCGGACCCGCUCGCUCGGCCCCAGCGGCGGGGCGCCCAGGCGCGCUCAGCCGAGCGCCGAGGCGCGCUUUCAGGAACAAUAACAGUGCAGGCGGCGAGGGGCCCGGCGCCGCCGCCGCCCCCCCCGCCCGCGCGCGCCAUGUACGCCUUUGUGCGGUUCCUGGAGGACAACGUCUGCUAUGCGCUGCCCGUCUCGUGCGUGCGGGACUUCAGCCCCACGUCCCGCCUCGACUUCGACAACCAGAAGGUGUACACGGUGUACCGCAACCCGCGCGAGGCGGAGGACGAGGACGAGAGCCCCGGCGACUGGGGCGACCGCCUGCUGCUGCACAAGGCCCAGAUCCUGGCGCUGGCAGAAGACAAAACUGACCUUGAAAACAGUGUGAUGCAGAAGAAAAUUAAAAUCCCCAAACUCUCUCUCAAUCACGUAGAAGAAGCUGGGGAGGUUACAGAUUAUGGGGAAGAAGAUGUGGAGCUUAGACACAGUAAGAGACAAGAUGGGAGGAAACAAAGUGAAGGUACACACAAAAGCAUCGAAGCAGUUGUUGCUCGCCUAGAAAAGCAAAAUGGGAUGAGUCUCAGUAGUAGUUCAAGCCCUGAGGAAACCUUUAUGGAGACUUCGGAAGGCAUUAACAACAUGGACGAUGCUGUAAUUCCUCGUGUUCUCUAUGAAGAAUUGCUGAGGAGUUACCAACAGCAGCAAGAAGAAAUGAGACAUAUUCAGCAAGAACUUGAGAGAACACGGAGGCAGCUUGUGCAGCAGGCAAAAAAGCUAAAGGAGUAUGGGGCGUUAGUGUCAGAAAUGAAAGAGCUCAGAGACUUGAACAGGAGACUUCAGGAUGUGCUGCUUCUGAGAUUAGGCAGUGGUCCUGCCAUUGAACUUGAAAAAGGAAAAUCAGAAUCCAUUGAGCCUGAGCCUGAGAUACAGAAAACAUUCAGUGAGGAAGCGAAUACAUCAACAUACUAUCCUGCCCCUGUUCCAGUAAUGGACAAGUAUAUUCUCGAGAAUGGAAAGGUCCAUCUGGGCAGUGGAAUCUGGGUAGAUGAGGAGAAAUGGCACCAGCUGCAAGUAACGCAAGGAGAUUCAAAGUAUACAAAAAACCUAGCUGUAAUGAUUUGGGGAACAGAUGUUCUCAAGAACAGAAGCGUCACAGGAGUUGCAACCAAAAAAAAGAAAGAUGCAGUUCCCAAGCCACCUCUCUCACCUCACAAAUUAAGCAUUGUCAGAGGUGUGACGGUAGAAGUGACUUGAAGGAGGAAAGGGUAGUGGCCUGACAGAUCAUUUUCAGUAAGGGUGUUCCAUGUCGUCUGGAAGAAAGCUCUAAGACUGUUCUGGGAGAUGUGGACAAAUGAAGGGGUUAAGAAUGUUUGUAUGACAGAAUAGCACAAGAAACUGUGGAUGAAACUGAAAUUGCACAGAGACUCUCCAAAGUCAACAAGUACAUCUGUGAAAAAAUCAUGGAUAUCAAUAAAUCAUGUAAAAAUGAAGAAAGGAGGGAAGCAAAGUACAAUUUGCAAUAAAUUUUGGAUUUUUAAUAAA